AAAAAUUUAGUUAAUUUAUAACGUUAGCUUGUCAAGCUAGAAUCAUUACUCGUAAUAAUUUUUA
rnacentral:tRNA from 1 species